UAAGGUUCUUGUAGUUGAAUAA
rnacentral:tRNA from 12 species